rnacentral:rRNA from 1 species
GGAAAACUGCUCACCAAGACUGCAGUGCUCACCUCCAUCACCAUCUACUACCUUACAAUGUUUGCCCAAUCUAAGUGGCUCAUCAAACGCAUUGACAAGCUCCGGAGAGGGUUCCUUUGGCGCGGCGAGGACGAAGCUGCUGGAAGCCAUUGUGUAGUGAAUUGGAAACAAGUGUGUUCCCCGAAAUGA